AUUGAACGCUGGCGGCAGGCCUAACACAUGCAAGUCGAGCGGAUGAAGGGAGCUUGCUCCUGGAUUCAGCGGCGGACGGGUGAGUAAUGCCUAGGAAUCUGCCUGGUCGUGGGGGAUAACGUCCGGACACGGGCGCUAAUACCGCAUACGUCCUGAGGGUGAAAGUGGGGGUUCUUCGGACCUCACGCUAUCAGAUGAGCCUAGGUCGGAUUAGCUAGUUGGUUGGGUAAAGGCUUACCAAGGCGACGAUCCGUAACUGGUCUGAGAGGCUGAUCAGUCACACUGGAACUGAGACACGGUCCAGACUCCUACGGGAGGCAGCAGUGGGGAAUAUUGGACAAUGGGCGAAAGCCUGAUCCAGCAAUGCCGCGUGUGUGAAGAAGGUCUUCGGAUUGUAAAGCUCUGUAAGUUGGGAGGAAGAACAGUAAGUGAAUACCUGGCUGUCUUGACGGUACCAACAGAAUAAGCAACGGCUAACUUCGUG
rnacentral:rRNA from 1 species